rnacentral:rRNA from 1 species
UACGUAGGGUGCAAGCGUUAAUCGGAAUUACUGGGCGUAAAGCGUGCGCAGGCGGUUGUGCAAGACAGAUGUGAAAUCCCCGGGCUCAACCUGGGAAUUGCAUUUGUGACUGUACGGCUAGAGUGUGUCAGAGGGGGGUAGAAUUCCACGUGUAGCAGUGAAAUGCGUAGAGAUGUGGAGGAAUACCGAUGGCGAAGGCAGCCCCCUGGGAUAACACUGAACGCCUGC